rnacentral:tRNA from 3 species
UGCGGGAUGGUGUAGCGGUAGCACACAUGACUCUGGAUCAUGUUGCCCUGGUUCGAAUCCAGGUCCCGCAGCCA